rnacentral:lncRNA from 1 species
GGGUGGCGCGCGGCAGCGGGGCUGGGCUCCGGCCCGGAGUCAGCGGAGGGAGCGCGCGCGCGCGCUCCCCGACAGCAGGCUUCUGGAGUCCACUUUGUCUCUAGAGUGGCUAGAAACCCCCGAAUCACAUUUCUAGAGUCAGCCCUAACCAGCCACUGCCAGGAAGGAUACCCAGGUCGUAUUGGAGGACGGAACGACCAGGAACUUGGCAUGGUAUGCCAGCCCGCUGUGAGUGUAUGCUUUCUGAGCAUGGAUAGCCCCAGUGACCCCUCUCACCUGCUGUAUCUCCUUUGGUGGGG